ensembl:lncRNA
AGUCAAACAACAACAAACCCUCUCACACGUUGAAUGGAGAGGGCUACUCUGAAUGGCUAAUGUUGGCCAGUCUUUCCGGGUCCUUCCCAGAGACCACAGAGACAGGCUCUUUGGGAGCAGGUACACUGUGGAGCUGAUGAAUUAACGCCUAUUUUUUUGUUCCUGAGCACUGUUGCCUUUCUGAUCUUGGUGGCUGCUCACCCAAAGUGUGGACACAAGAGGGAGGCUGCUAUUUGACAUGCUUCCCUGGGAACUCAACACAUUGCCUCCAUGACAUUUGUAUCCUAUGCUAGUCUGGGAAGUGAGACUCCAGAUUGAGACCACCCCCAUGUCAGGUGCCCAGCUAAUGCUUUGCAUAAUGCAAACAGCGUUCACUCAUGGGAUUCUGACGGAGAGAUAAGUAGCCUUCAAAAACGCUUAGAAGAUGUUACAUUUCAGAGAGGCAUUGCUUAAAACAUAUGGACCUUACUUUAGGGCCAAGCAAGAAAGACAUUUGAUUACUGAUUUGUUUACGUGUGUUUAUUCACUUCUUUUCUUCAUUAAACAAAUGAAUAUCCUCGUGAAGAGGAAAAAAAUGAUGAGGAGGACUGAAUUCUCCCUGUGUAAGUAUAUAGAACAUUCUUGGAUGUUAAUGAGAAUUGUACAUCUACAUUAUAAAAUGGAGUUUACCCACCCAAUAUUGGUGUGAUGAUUUGCAACUUCAACCAGUUUGGAGAACAAUAAUAUUUGAAAACUAUGCUGAGGGCCAGAUAAACUUCUCCAUUUUCAGAAAGGGACAAAUAAGAAGGAAUGGUCCUUCCCUAAUGCAUAAUUUCUCCUUUUCUAGUGUAAAAUAUAGUAAAUUACUCCAAACACAAACUAAUCAUCAAGAAGGCAACAAUACUGUUAAUGGUUUAAGCAUAGUACUCAGUCUGAGUUUACUCUGCCUUAUGGAAAUAUCAAAGUCAUUUUGAUUAUGCUCAGAGGUUUAAUAUAGCUAUUAGAACAACAACUACUCUAUCGGUGUUACACCAUUACGUUUGUUAAGUUGAUUCAGCAGUAGAACUAUGACUCUUAUUUUUCCAGCUGCAUUUGUGAAUUUGUUUUUGCUUAAGUUUGAGUAAUUGAAGUCUUGUGGGAAGUAAAGUCAUUGUUCAUCUGCUUAUUUCAAUCUGUGCUGGGAAAACCAAUUUUCUCUUGUUAAAUUAUAUUUCUAAUGUUCAACAGGGAUAGCUGCAGAUACUUGUUGUCAUGCCUUGCUUUCUUUGAAAUAUUUCUUAACUGGCUCUCCAAGCUAUUUUUCCACCCCCUGAUAUUUCAGCAGCAAGGUGAUUCAUUCAGAAUAGUUUUACCCUAUUUCUGACAUCACAGAUCUAUCAGCAGAGAUGGUCUGACAGGAGUCUGAAACCGGUACUCUGUAAUGUGGCCAAUACGUAAUUUUUAUCUAAACAUAAGAGUGAGAAUGGGGCAAAUUUUUUGUUUAUCUUUUUAUUUUUAUUUUUAUUUUUUGAAGUGAGCUUUCUACUUAAAGGCUGCAUUCCCCCAUCAGUUUCUCUUACUUUCUUUGAUAGCAUGUUUUCCACACUUGUGUUGUGCAUGGCUCCUCAAAUGCCAUUACAGGCUGAGCAAACACCUUUGCUGUUAUGGUAAGAAGGACCAAUUUUGGCCUGAAUAUUUGAUAAGAAUAAAUUACAUUUUUCUUGCUUACCAUGUCAAAAAUAAGUAUAUAAAUAAAUAAAAUUGCCACUCUGCCAACCAGAACAAACUUUCUUUGCAGAACUUUACAGCUUACAGUUACUUGGGGACCCCUGUUGAAAAACAACUUCUGAAAGUCUGGUAACUUUUCUUCAGUGCUUAAUUGAGAACAGACUAUUUUGGAAACAUCAACCAUCAGAGAUAUGUAAUCACCUAAAUAGGUGGAGGCAAUGUAAUUAUACAGAAUCAUCUUUGUUCCAGGGUUAAUGCAAGAAAAGAGCAGCCUUAGUGAAUGAAAGGAGGUGAUUCAAGUCCUCCUGAAGUUAAUGAACAGCUUUGUGUCAGGCUCCUAAUACAUAGAAUAAAACAACAGCAUUUGUUACUUUUUGACUGCUGAAAAAUAUUUUGGAGUGGUGGAUUGUUGAAUUUUAUGGCAGUUUUCAAUUUGACCUGAAGUGUUGAUAAGGUUUAUUUCUGAACUUCUUUAAAUGGAAAGUGGCUGACAGUGCAAUUAAACCAUGUGAAUAUUUG